ACAUUAUCAAUACUCUCUGUUGACUCAGACUCAUCCAUCCAGAGGACUCGAACAUGGUCAGCAGUAAGAGGACCACUCUUAUUGUUACUAUUGUUCCCAUCAGCAGUUUCCUCAGCAUUUUCAUUGUUAUCCCUAUUGCCUUCUGAGUUGGAAUCACCAUUGUCACCACCACCACCGUCUUCUUCUUCUUCUUCUUCUUCUUCUUCUUCUUCUUCUUCUUCUUCUUCUUCUUCUUCG
rnacentral:lncRNA from 1 species